UGAUAGCUCAGUUGGGAGAGCGUCAGACUGAAGUACCGAAACAGUCAUCUGAAGGUCCCGCGUUCGAUUC
rnacentral:tRNA from 1 species